rnacentral:misc_RNA from 1 species
GAUGAAGAACGUAGCGAAAUGCGAUAAGUAAUGUGAAUUGCAGAAUUCCGUGAAUCAUCGAAUCUUUGAACGCACAUUGCGCCCCCUGGCAUUCCGGGGCGCAUGCCUGUCCGAGCGUCAUUUCUGCCCUCAAGCACGGCUUGUGUGUUGGGUGUGGUCCCCCCGGGGACCUGCCCGAAAGGCAGCGGCGACGUCCGUCUGGUCCUCGAGCGUAUGGGGCUUUGUCACUCGCUCGGGAAGGACCUGCGGGGGUUGGUCACCACCAUAUUUUACCACGGUUGACCUCGGAUCAGGUAGGAGUUACCCGCUGAACUUAAGCAUAUCAAUAAGCGGAGGA